rnacentral:rRNA from 1 species
AGAGGGUGCAAGCGUUAAUCGGAAUUACUGGGCGUAAAGCGUGCGUAGACGGUUAUUUAAGUCGGGUGUGAAAGCCCCGGGCUCAACCUGGGAAUUGCAUUCGAGACUGAAUAGCUAGGGUGCGGAAGAGGGAAGCGGAAUUUCCGGUGUAGCGGUGAAAUGCGUAGAUAUCGGAAGGAACACCAGUGGCGAAAGCGGCUUCCUGGUCCAGCACCGACGUUCAGGCACGAAAGCGUGGGGAGCAAACAGGAUUAGAUACCCUGGUAGUCCACGCCAUAAACGAUGACAACUAGACGUUGAGAGGGUAAGCCUCCCAGUGUCGAAACUAACGCGAUAAGUUGUCCGCCUGGGGAGUACGGCCGCAAGGUUG